AGUGGCGAACGGGUGAGUAAAGUAUCGGAACGUGCCCAGUCGUGGGGGAUAACGUAGCGAAAGUUACGCUAAUACCGCAUACGAUCUAUGGAUGAAAGCGGGGGAUCGCAAGACCUCGCGCGAUUGGAGCGGCCGAUAUCAGAUUAGGUAGUUGGUGGGGUAAAGGCUCACCAAGCCGACGAUCUGUAGCUGGUCUGAGAGGACGACCAGCCACACUGGGACUGAGACACGGCCCACACUCCUACGGGAGGCAGCAGUGGGGAAUUUUGGACAAUGGGCGCAAGCCUGAUCCAGCCAUGCCGCGUGCAGGAUGAAGGCCUUCGGGUUGUAAACUGCUUUUGUACGGAACGAAAAGGUUUGGCCUAAUAAGCUGAGCUCAUGACGGUACCGUAAGAAUAAGCACCGGCUAACUACGUGCCAGCAGCCGCGGUAAUACGUAGGGUGCGAGCGUUAAUCGGAAUUACUGGGCGUAAAGCGUGCGCAGGCGGUUAUGUAAGACAGAUGUGAACUCCCCGGGCUCAACCUGGGAACUGCAUUAGUGACUGCAUAGCUGGAGUACGGCAGAGGGGGGAUGGAAUUCCGCGUGUAGCAGUGAAAUGCGUAGAUAUGCGGAGGAACACCGAUGGCGAAGGCCAUCCCCUGGGUCUGUACUGACGCUCAUGCACGAAAGCGUGGA
rnacentral:rRNA from 1 species